AGGUGUGAUCAUACCAGCGUUAAUGCACCGGAUCCCAUCAGAACUCCGCAGCUAAGCGUGUUUGGGAUAGUGUAGUACUGGGAUGGGUGACCUCCUGGGAAGUCCUAGUGUUGCACCCU
rnacentral:rRNA from 1 species